UACGUAGGGUGCAAGCGUUGUCCGGAAUUAUUGGGCGUAAAGAGCUCGUAGGCGGUCUGUCGCGUCGGCUGUGAAAACCCGGAGCUCAACUCCGGGCCUGCAGUCGAUACGGGCAGACUGGAGUUCGGCAGGGGAGACUGGAAUUCCUGGUGUAGCGGUGAAAUGCGCAGGUAUCAGGAGGAACACCGGUGGCGAAGGCGGCCCGCUGGGCAGUGGCUGACGCUGAGGCGCGACAGCGUGGGGAGCAAACAGG
rnacentral:rRNA from 1 species